CUGGCUACAGCUGCCACCCUGGGAUGGUUGUCAUACGUUUUUGUGUAGGCCGUGACACACUGAGGCUGGAUUCUAAGUCUUCUUUCACCAAAACC